CAAAAAUUGAAAUUCAAAAAGAAAAGCUCCCUGAUAAGUAUUCACUGAAGUAAAGAGCAUGACAACUAGCCCCAAUCUCCACAACAGUGCAAACAUAUUCUGUAACAGACAUAAAUCUUUAUGAUAUAACAUUCCACUUUUAAUCUCACACUUCUAACUUCAUUUUGCAAGUUUAUUUCUCACCCUAUUAGUUCCCCCCCCCCCCCCACCCCCCUCCCCCCCCUCCCCCCCCCCCCCCCCCCCCACCCCCCCCCCCCCCUCCCCCCCCCCCCCCCCCCCCCCCACACACACACACACACACACACACACACACGCACACACACAUUCAUGCUCUUUUGAUCGACCCAUUCAAGAAACUUCACCUCCUGCCCUGUAAAGACAGAGGCUCCUGCAGCCUGCGCUGUUAUCAUCUCACACCUCUUAGGAGCUCUAGGCCAAUUAUAUGUUUUAUUGUUAAUUUUGAAAUAAUUUCACUUGAUUGUUUUUAAAAAUGUCCCAUGGGAUCUGCAAGACAAAGACCAUCAAGAUUGCAUAUGAUAAACAUGUUGCCACGUUUAUUGCAACUCUCUUGACUUCAUGCACACCAUGAUGGCCUAGGGCCGCUGACAACUUGCUGAUAUUUGUAUGUUGUCUAACUCUGCUGACAUGCACUUCGUAAGGUGUCAUGAUAACAUUACAACCCAGGAAUGACAGAAUUAAGUAAAAGAUCAAAUUUUUCAACCAAAUUGAAACGACAUCUUGUCCAUUUAAUUAUAUGGGGGCAUGUUUUUCAUAUUUGGCUCUAAACACUGAGAAUGUUCGUAAGAUUGUUUGUUUAUAUGUUUAUUUGUCUGCUGCCUCUUUGGGAACCAGAACAGCAGGUGUGGGGAGAAGUAAUGACAGGACUCCAUUUUACUGGCUGUCACAUCCCAGCAUGCUCGCUGCUGUCCAGUCGAGUGCACCGACUGAAAGAUGACAAGCUGACAGCUCACCACACAGGAUACCAGGCGUCUAAUGACAUUCUACUUUUGCGAGAUGGGUUUCCAGAAUUACUGAUGUCCAUCUGUCUCAGCAUCCUGCCAAGACCUCUCAGUUCACUUCCAGAUAGACACUCUCAUGGUGGAGG
ensembl:lncRNA